rnacentral:rRNA from 1 species
AAACUUAAAGGAAUUGACGGGGCCCGCACAAGCGGUGGAGCAUGUGGUUUAAUUCGGCGCAACGCGAAGAACCUUACCAGGGCUUGACAUCCCCUGACCGCCGGGGAAACCCGGUCUUCUACUUUCGGGUAGACAGGGAGACAGGUGGUGCAUGGUUGUCGUCAGCUCGUGUCGUGAGAUGUUGGGUUAAGUCCCGCAACGAGCGCAACCCUUACGGUUAGUUGCCAGCGGGUAACGCCGGGCACUCUGGCCGAACUGCCGUUGAUAAAACGGAGGAAGUGGGAUGACGUCAAAUCAUCAUGCCCUUUAUGCCCUGGGCUACACACGCGCUACAAUGGCCGGUCCAAAGGGCAGCGCACCCGCGAGGGGAAGCGAAUCCCAAAAAGCCGGUCUCAGUUCGGAUUGCAGGCUGCAACUCGCCUGCAUGAAGGCGGAAUCGCUAGUAAUCGCAGGUCAGCAUACUGCGGUGAAUACGUUCCCGGGCCUU